AAGUCUCCUGAAGGAACGUUGAAGACGACUACGUUGAUAGGCCGGGUGUGUAAGCGCAGCGAUGCGUUGAGCUAACCGGUACUAAUGAACCGUGAGGCUUAACCUUACAACGCCGAAG
rnacentral:rRNA from 1 species